GACGAACGCUGGCGGCGUGCUUAACACAUGCAAGUCGAACGGAAAGGCCCUGCUUUUGUGGGGUGCUCGAGUGGCGAACGGGUGAGUAACACGUGAGUAACCUGCCCUUGACUUUGGGAUAACUUCAGGAAACUGGGGCUAAUACCGGAUAGGAGCUCCUGCUGCAUGGUGGGGGUUGGAAAGUUUCGGCGGUUGGGGAUGGACUCGCGGCUUAUCAGCUUGUUGGUGGGGUAGUGGCUUACCAAGGCUUUGACGGGUAGCCGGCCUGAGGGGGUGACCGGCCACAUGGGGCCUGAGAUACGGCCCAGACGCCUACGGGAGGCAGCAGUGGGGAAUAUUGCACAAUGGGCGGAAGCCUGAUGCAGCAACGCCGCGUGCGGGAUGACGGCCUUCGGGUUGUAAACCGCUUUCGCCUGUGACGAAGCGUGAGUGACGGUAAUGGGUAAAGAAGCACCGGCUAACUACGUG
rnacentral:rRNA from 1 species